ACUGCCGAAAUUGAGGCAUGUAGAGACGAUAGAACCCCAGAGAUAUCUCUUCAUAAGAAAGUCCAGAAAGAGUGGGCUUGUGCUGUAUGCCUGCUCACAACCCAAAGUGAGGCUACCUUGAAUUCCCAUCUUCAAGGGAAGAGACAUCAGGCCACUUCUGAGCAGCUGAAAGCCAAAAACCAGGCAACCAAAGACAAUGGUUCCCCAUCUGCUUCAAUGGCCAAGAUAUCUGAUCAGUCCACCAAAGAGGAGCAACCGAAGUGUACUUCCAACAAUCUGAAUUCUAAAAACAAUGGAAUCUCAGCUGCUUCAACAGUGAAGAAACCAGAUGAGACCAAAGAUGAUAAGCGACAAAAGUGUGCAUCUAGCAAUGGACCGAACCAGAAGAAUAAAAAAGUGUGGGCUUGUGCUCUAUGCCAGGUCACAACCCAAAGUGAGGCUACCUUGAAUUCCCAUCUUCAAGGAAAGAGACAUCAGGCCACUUCUGAGCAGCUGAAAGCCAAAAACCAGGCAAUCAAAACCAAUGGCUCCCCAUCUGCUUCAAUGGCCAAGAAAUCUGAUGGGUCCACCAAAGAGGAGCAACUGAAGUGUACUUCCAACAAUCUGAAUUCCAAAAACAAUGGCAUCUCAGCUGCUUCAACAGUGAAGAAACCUGAUAAGACCAAAGAGGAUAAGCAACAAAAGUGUGCAUCUAGCAAUGGACCGAACCAGAAGAAUAACAAAAAUUGGGCUUGUGCUCUAUGCCAGGUCACAACCCAAAGUGAGGCUACCUUGAAUUCCCAUCUUCAAGGGAAGAGACAUCAGGCCACUUCUGAGCAGCCGAAAGGCAAAAACAAGGCAACCAAAGCCAGUGGUUCCCCAUCUGCUUCAAUGGCCAAGAAAUCUGAUCAGUCCACCAAAGAGGAGCAACUGAAGUGU
rnacentral:lncRNA from 1 species